CUCAGACCUUUCUACCUGUCAG
rnacentral:miRNA from 1 species